rnacentral:misc_RNA from 1 species
CUCGAUUGUGUCCUCAGUUAUAUGACACGCUGUAUAUAGAACUUAACGAGUUCCGUCUAAUAAUUUUCUAUUCAUAAAAUAUAGAAUUAAUGUCAAACGCAUGUGGUUCCCUAUUGUUUCAAUACAAUGUAAGCUGAUGGGAGCGAAAUUAGAUCAAUAGGAGAGAGAAUCUUGUUCUUUCCCAAGCCAUUUGUUCGUCAAAGAGGUUAGGAUAGAAUUAAAUUAACUCGUGCAGAAACUAUAGCUCGCGUGCUUCGCAGUCACGAGUAUAAAGUGCCAUAUUGCAAUGAUAAGAAAGAUCUCUCCACACCCUGAGAUAAGACGUUUGAAUCAUUGUUUCGUAUAAAAAGAUAAUCAAUGUGCGAGAGAGUAAUGAUGGCGGUUAGUUCGUCUGUCAAUCUAACAGGCCGCUGACAAUAAUGUGAGAAACGGGCAUCGCUGUACGCCCACACGUCUAUCGAAUGCCGAUAAGAACAUUGUGAAUUUUUCGUUAAGCACUGCAUGUGCCCAGCACGCUUACAAUGAGUAUUUUACGAAAAAGAUUAAACGAUUUCGACGAUGUUUUGAACGCCGAAGAGAUAGAUCUCGUUAGUCUCAAACGAUUGUGCUUCCAUGGGAUACCAGAUGAAGGAAGUUUAAGACCAUUAUGUUGGAAACUUUUGUUAAAUUACUUACCUCCAACAAGGGCUAGUUGGUCAGAAACUUUAACGCGCAAAAGAAUACUUUAUAAAACUUUCAUUGAGGAUCUGAUUGUCACUCCGGGUGAAGCUAAUGCAGAUGGAGAGAGGGUGGAUGUUACCCUCCAUGAUCACCCUUUAAAUUUAAAUCCUGAUAGCAAGUGGCAAACAUAUUUUAAGGACAAUGAAGUUCUUCUGCAGAUAGACAAAGAUGUUAGGAGACUAUGUCCAGAUAUAUCAUUCUUCCAACAAGGUACUGACUACCCUUGUAAAGAAAUUGUAAAUGCCUGUGGACAGAAACGUUUGCAUCACAGAGUGCAGCAUACAGUGUUAAGAAGCGCAAAUGUAGAAAGAAAAGGACUUGGUGUAACUAAGAUAGCAGUUUCUAUUAGGAAAGCUGCAGAAGAUUAUGCGCCGCUUGCAGAAGGCGGUGAAGCGCAUUGGGAGGUUUUAGAAAGAAUACUUUUUCUUUAUGCUAAAUUAAAUCCGGGGCAGGGUUACGUACAAGGAAUGAAUGAAAUCGUUGGUCCUAUUUAUCAUGCUUUUGCUUGUGAUCCAGAUCAGAAAUGGAGAGAACAUGCAGAAGCAGAUACUUUUUUCUGUUUCACGAAUCUGAUGAGUGAAAUACGCGACUUUUUCAUUAAAUCCUUGGAUGAAGCUGAAUUUGGAAUAAAUUCAAUGAUGAGUAAGCUCACAACUCAAGUCAAAGCUAAUGAUCCCGAAGUUUGGUUGCGACUACAUCAGCAAGAACUGUGUCCCCAAUAUUACAGCUUCAGAUGGCUGACGCUUCUACUUUCGCAAGAAUUCCCUUUGCCGGAUGUCAUGAGGAUUUGGGAUUCUCUGUUCGCGGAUGAAAACAGAUUCAGUUUCUUGAUACACAUUUGUUGUGCCAUGAUUUUGCUAUUGCGGGACCAACUACUCGCCGGUGAUUUUGCUACAAACGUCAAACUUUUACAAAAUUUUCCUUCAAUGGAUAUUCAAAUAGUGCUCUCUAAGGCAGCUGCAUUAGCAGGAAAGAGUUUAAAUUCGCCAUAAUAAGAUGACUGUAUACAUAAAGUUCCAUGUAACUCUAAAAAUAUGAACAAAACACUUGAGGUGGAAUAUUGGAAACCGUUCAAAGUUGUAUAUAAAUAAAAAAAGGAAAAAGGUAAAUGUAAUUAGGCAGCAUUAAAAGUAAUGAAGAUGUUGUUGAUAGUAGAGAAAUUUUUUGUUAUGAAUUAAAGAAGGAAUAAUUAUUCUGUGAAUGGAAUAUUUAGCCAUAUCGAAGGAUGUAAAUCUUGUUAUAUUCAAAAAUCAAAUAUUUGAAUAUUUGAAGGAAGCAUUUGUUGCUAAUUGUAACGUAAGAUUUAUGUAAUGGUUUCGUAACGAACAAGGUGUGAAACGUAGUCUAAUAGUUACUAAAAAUUAAGAACAAAAAGACGGGGGGUUUAUCUGCAAUACUGGCAGAUUCAAUACACAUUUUGUAACGAUUAAACAGAUUUAUUAUCGUUUAUACGCGCAAUAAUUAUGCAAUACAUUUAAGUGAAAUAUUAUAUUUUGUAAUCUUAUUUUUGUAAUGAACUGCGUUGUUCGUCCUACGUUUGUAAAAUAAAAAAGUGUUAUAUUUG